rnacentral:lncRNA from 1 species
UGAGCAAACAGAAGAGGCUCAGUGUUGGCAGUCAUUUGUUGUCCAUUUGGCCAAAAAGGUGGCCUUUGACUGUGGAGACUGAGAAAGACUCCCCUGAGGUGUGAUGGCUGCUCCGCACAGGCUUCCAUCGCUGGCUGGGCUGCAGUCACACAGCGCACUGUUUGCUUUGUCUCCACUGGUCUUGGGUUGGACCAGAUGAUCUUUCAAGGUUCCUUCCGACCUGGGCUGUUCCAUGACGCUGUGAUUCUAGUGUUGAAAACAGCAUCCAUCUGUGGUCCAUCUUGCAUCUGGAAAGUGACUUUCCUGCAGUGACGCAGCUUUUGGUAAUGUAAUUAGUAUCGGUAAUGUAAUUAGUAUCGGUAAUGUUGGCAUCUCUGGGCCACCCAGCACCAGGGAAAGGCAGAAAACGUGGUGGCUGAGCCAGGAGGCCACCCACAGCCAUCGGUCUUGUCCAGACUGGGUCCCCACCACAGCACUCAGCCAUCAGGAGCCCUUGUUCCUCACAGACCAGCCCCACCUCUAUCUCUGUUAGUUCUGAGUUCUCUCU